CUUCCUGCGGAAACACUUCGUUGCGUUUACCGGUGCGGUUGCGUCGGUAAACGCAACCGCACCGCACCGUGGCUGAUGUGAGUGUACACGUUGAUUUCAAUGAUUUGGGUUCCUUGCGGCGCCCGCACCGCAGCCGCAUUCAGUGUGAGCCUGGCAUAAUGCUCACAGUAUGCUACUGUUUCAGGACAGGAGUCAGAGUGGCAUGGGCGGAGUUUUCCAAUCUACGCACCUGUCCUGGAUUCUGCUGAUGAGAGCAGCUGGCAUUUAAGCUCCUGGAAGUGAUCCAUUCCUCGCCGGAUUAUUCAGUGACACUGUUACUGAGUGAGACAGCCAAUAAUUUGUCUUUGAGACUUUCUUGAGUAACUUGGUGAUUUUUGUGUUUUUCCAAGGACACUUAUUGGAGUGUGGAACUCGCCUUUUGCUGGAGCUUAAGGACUUGUAAGGACUUAAGGAGGUGUAUUUGGAUUCCUCUCCUGGAAAGUCUCACCUGUAAACCAACCAUCCUCUGUCCUGCCACUCUCUCUCUCUCUCUCCCUCGGACCUAGAACAUAAACGGACACCGAAACCUGGAACACUUACCUCCUGGAUUUCCCUUGCCUCCUCCUCCGAGCUGACUUCCCUCCCAAGAGCCUGACGAACCCACUGUUGUGCACUCACUGUAAAUAAACAUCAUUUAACUUUU